AGUUAAAAAUUUCAUCCAUUUGUACUAUUAAAAACUAUUGUGGUUGAUGAAAUAACAAGAUAGUGACACAUAACGUGUCAUGCGUAUCUCAUGCUGACGUAAAGGGAUAAAUUUUUAACCGUAGAAAUAGAUACAGUUUUUAACA
rfam:Gossypium hirsutum cultivar TM-1 chromosome 1, whole genome shotgun sequence